UACGAAGGGGGCUAGCGUUGUUCGGAUUUACUGGGCGUAAAGCGCACGUAGGCGGGUCGUUAAGUCAGGGGUGAAAUCCCGGAGCUCAACUCCGGAACUGCCUUUGAUACUGAGGAUCUUGAGUUCGGGAGAGGUGAGUGGAACUGCGAGUGUAGAGGUGAAAUUCGUAGAUAUUCGCAAGAACACCAGUGGCGAAGGCGGCUCACUGGCCCGAUACUGACGCUGAGGCACGAAAGCGUGGGGAGCAAACAGG
rnacentral:rRNA from 1 species